GGGGGUAUAGCUCAGUGGUAGAGCGUUUGACUGCAGAUCAACCGGUCCCCAGUUCAAAUCUGGGUGCUCCCU
rnacentral:tRNA from 2 species